rnacentral:lncRNA from 1 species
CAGUAUUGGUGUCAGAUAAUGAACUGGCCCACUGGGCCCAAGAAAUCCCCCGUCCUGUUUUAGAGCAUUCAGACAAUUCUGAGAGCCUCUAUGGUAAGGUGGUUUGAAUCUUUAACAAAGGCUCUGACAAGAUAGAUUCCUGAUAGAUUCCGACAAGCCUUGCGGGACCCUGCUCCUCCUGGCGACUCAUUAGAUGACCUUGUCGAGGACUGGAAUAAUUGGCUCUUGGCAGUCAUUGAUGAGAUCGCGCCUAAGCGCCCUCUGCGACCCCGUCGAAACCGGGCCCCUUGGUUUACUGAGGAGCUCCAGAAAAUGAAGCAGGAUCUCAGACGGCUAGAGCGAGUAUGGCGACGGACUCGUGACGGAGCUUCAAGAACAUCUUAUAGGACGCUUAUGAAAUCCUAUGAGAUGGCUAUGAAAGCUGCUAAGAAAUCUUACUUUGCAGCUUCCAUUGCAUCCACUAGCUCUCGCCCGGCACAACUUUUUAGAAUAAUUAGGUCAAUAGCAUCCUUAGGAGGACAACCAAAUUUAAGCACAAAUUCGACCCACAGCUGUGAGGCAUUCGCGAGCUUUUUUGCGGAGAAAGCCCUGUUGCUCCGCCGUGACCUCCCUGCCAAUUUAGAUACAGUGACUGAACUGGAGGCCCCUCGACUGACUUCAGGUCCAGUGUUGGACCAUUUCGAUCAGAUACUCCCUACUGAUGUGGAUAGAUUCCUCCAAGUUGGUAGGCCCACCACCUGCCUCCUUGAUCAGUGCCCGUCUUGGCUGAUUAGGGAGUGUCCAGAUGUUGCACGGACCCCCCUGGUUGAAAUUAUCAAUUUGUCAUUUGACACGGGGACAUUCCCAGGGGAACUGAAGGAAGCAGUGGUGUGUCCACUCUUAAAGAAAACUUCAUUAGAUCCCUUAGACCUAUCCAAUUACCGCCCAGUUUCAAAUCUUCCAUACCUGGGUAAGGUAAUUGAGAGAGCGGUUGCUGAACAGCUUGGUAGGUUUCUGGAGGAAACAUCGGCUUUAGAUCCAUUUCAGUCCGGUUUCCGUCCUGGUUUUGGGACCGAGACGGCUCUGGUUGCCCUAACAGAUGAUCUCUGUAGACAACUGGAUUGAGGCGGGUCAGGACUGCUGAUCCUUUUAGAUUUGUCAGCAGCCUUUGACAUGGUCGAUCAUGAUCUUCUGGACCACCGCCUCGCAGACGUGGGGAUACAGGGCAUAGCCCGUAACUGGUUGUGCUCUUUUAUCUCUGGUCGGGGACAGAGGGUGGCACUAGGGACGGAAAUGUCGUCGCGCCACUCCUUGGUGUGUGGAGUGCCGCAGGGCGCAAUUCUUUCCCCGAUGCUUUUUAACAUCUUUAUGCGCCCCCUUACCCAGAUUAUCCGGAGCUUUGGGCUGGGCUGUCACCAAUAUGCUGAUGACACUCAGCUCUAUCUGCUGAUGGAUGGCCACAUCGACUCGGCCCCGAACACACUAACCAGAUGCUUGGAAGCUGUGGCUGGAUGGUUUCGUGGGAGCCGAUUGAAACUAAAUCCUUCGAAGACAGAGGUCCUAUGGCUAGGUCGGGAUGGCAUGGGGAUGAGGAACCAACUCCCUUCUCUUGUGGGGGCCCAAUUAGUGCCAUUGCCUUCCGUUAAGAGUUUGGGUGUAAUCCUUGAUGCCUCCCUUUCCAUGGAGGCGCAAGUUACAGCAACAGCCAAGGCUACAUUUUUCCACCUUCGCUGCAUCAAGCAGUUGGUCCCUUACCUUUCCCGCCCCAACCUGGCCACAGUGAUCCAUGCGACGGUCAUCUCCAGGCUUGACUACUGUAAUUCGCUGCCCUUGAAGCUGUCCCAGAAACUCCAGCGGGUACAGAAUGCUGCAGCGAGGGUCCUUACAGGGUCUCUGCCAUGGGAGCAUAUUCACCCAGUGCUUUUCAAGCUGCACUGGCUCCUGGUGGAGUACAGGGUCAGGUUCAAGGUGCUGGUUUUGACCUUUCAAGCCCUUCACGGCCUAGGACCCUCGUACGUACGGGACCGCCUCUCCCGGUAUGCCCCACAGAGAGCCUCAAGGUCCAUAAAUAGCAACACCCUAGUGGUCCCGGGCCCUAAGGAAGUUAGAUUGGCUUCAACCAGAGCCAGGGCCUUUUCAACUCUGGCUCCAGCCUGGUGGAACGCUCUGCCUCAUGAGACCAGGGCCCUGCAGGAUCUGAUUUCUUUCCGCAGGGCCUGUAAGACAGAGUUGUUCUGCCUGGCCUUUGGCUUGGAGCCAAUUUGAUUCCCUCCCUCCCUCUCUUUCUUUUUUCUUUUCCUUCUCCUCCUGCGAUGAGGCUACUUUUUAAAAUUUUAAUGUUUCAAUAUUUUAAUGUUGUAUUUUAAUUUUGUUUUUAAGUUGUAAUCAUUCAACUUGUUUUUAUUAUUGCUUGUAAGCCGCUCUGAGCCCGGCCUUGGCUAGGGAGGGCGGGGUAUAAAUAAAAAUUAUUAUUAUUAUUAUUAUUAUAGAGCAUUCAGACAAUUCUGAGAGCCUCUAUGGUAAGGUGGUUUGAAUCUUUAACAAAGGCUCUGACAAGUACAGGAGUUCCCCUCUCCCUUCUAGUAGCUCACCAGUAAGAAUUAACGAGCAUCUUUUGUUCUUUUGUUCAAGGUGAACAAAAGACACUUUGAUGGCUGUCACCCAUGGAAGCAAUAUCCCUUAAAAAGAUAAAUAUAAGGACAAAUUGGCCAACAUAUAGAGAGCUCCUAGUGGAAGUGGAAAAUCAACUGAAAUUAAGAAAAUGUGACAAAAUAAGAAAAUAGGUAUCAGAAUGGCUACAAUAUUUUCAAUUAAAUGAGACAUUUAAAGAAAACAAAAAAGAGGAUUCAGUUAUACAAUAUCUAGAUUUCAAAGAGAAAUUGUAGAGGACAAUACCAAACUAUUGAAGAAAAUGUAUAGUUUGUUGCUAGAAUGGGAAACAAAGGAUGAAGUGGUGCGAUGGUGUGUGAUGAUAAAGCGGGUGAGAGAUCUGGAACAUAAUAGCCAAAUGUGUGAUUGGGAAAAACUUUGGAAGGUGGAUCUGAAAUUUACUGCAUGUACAAUACUGAAAGAGAACUACAUGAAAAUGAUGUAUCAUUGGUACAUAACACUGGUAAAACUUGCAAAAAUGUAUAGAAGAAGUUCUAAUAAGUGUUGGAAAUGUGAAGAAAAAGAGGAUACUUUUUACCAUAUGUGGUGGGAGUGUAAAAUGGUUUAAAAUUUCUGGGAUAUAUAAUGAACUGAAGAAAAUGUUUAAAAAUGACUUUUACCAAAAAACCAGAAGUGUUUUUAUUAGGAAUAAGAGAAAAUCAAAUCCUGAAGGAAAAGAAAAAACUGUUUAUGUAUGCAACAACAGCAUCCCGGACCUUACUAGCCCAAAGGUGGGAGGAAGAUAAGAUACCAACUAUAGAAGAAUGGAUAUUGAAAAUGAUGGACUAUGCAGACAUGGCAAAACUUGCAGAAAAGCUCAGAGUCAAUGACAUUGAGAAAUUAAAAAAAAGAAUGGGAGGCAUUUAUUGUAUAUAUACAAAAAUAUUGUAAACAAGUAGAAACAUUGGCAGA